rnacentral:rRNA from 1 species
AACGAACGCUGGCGGCAGGCUUAACACAUGCAAGUCGAACGCACCGCAAGGUGAGUGGCAGACGGGUGAGUAACACGUGGGGAUCUGCCCAAUGGUACGGAAUAGCUCCGGGAAACUGGAAUUAAUACCGUAUGAGCCCGCAAGGGGAAAGAUUUAUCGCCAUUGGAUGAACCCGCGUCGGAUUAGCUAGUUGGUGUGGUAAAGGCGCACCAAGGCGACGAUCCGUAGCUGGUCUGAGAGGAUGAUCAGCCACACUGGGACUGAGACACGGCCCAGACUCCUACGGGAGGCAGCAGUGGGGAAUAUUGGACAAUGGGCGCAAGCCUGAUCCAGCCAUGCCGCGUGAGUGAUGAAGGCCUUAGGGUUGUAAAGCUCUUUCGCCGACGAAGAUAAUGACGGUAGUCGGAGAAGAAGCCCCGGCUAACUUCGUGCCAGCCGCCGCGGUAA